rnacentral:tRNA from 2 species
GGAGAGCUGGCCGAGUGGCUGAAGGCGCGCCCCUGCUAAGGGCGUAUACGGCAACGUAUCGAGGGUUCGAAUCCCUCGCUCUCCGCCA